rnacentral:rRNA from 1 species
GAUGAACGCUGGCGGCGUGCUUAACACAUGCAAGUCGAACGUGAGAGGAUAGCAAUAUUCUUGAAAGUGGCGCACGGGUGAGUAAUACGUAGGUAACCUGCCCUGGAGUGGGGGAUAACAACUAGAAAUGGUUGCUAAUACCGCAUGAAGCCAAGACACUGGGAAGUGACUUGGUAAAAAACUCUGGUGCUUCAGGAGGGGCCUACGGCCGAUUAGCUAGUUGGCGGGGUAAGAGCCCACCAAGGCAGUGAUCGGUAGCUGGUCUGAGAGGACGAUCAGCCACACGGGAACUGAGACACGGUCCCGACUCCUACGGGGGGCAGCAGUGAGGAAUAUUGGGCAAUGGGCGGAAGCCUGACCCAGCAACGCCGCGUGGAGGAAGACGGCCU